CCUACGGGUGGCAGCAGUGGGGAAUAUUGCACAAUGGGGGAAACCCUGAUGCAGCGACGCCGCGUGAGUGAAGAAGUAUUUCGGUACGUAAAGCUCUAUCAGCAGGGAAGAAAAUGACGGUACCUGACUAAGAAGCCCCGGCUAACUACGUGCCAGCAGCCGCGGUAAUACGUAGGGGGCAAGCGUUAUCCGGAUUUACUGGGUGUAAAGGGAGCGUAGACGGCAGCGCAAGUCUGGAGUGAAAUCCCAUGGCUUAACCAUGGAACUGCUUUGGAAACUGUGCAGCUAGAGUGCAGGAGAGGUAAGCGGAAUUCCUAGUGUAGCGGUGAAAUGCGUAGAUAUUAGGAGGAACACCAGUGGCGAAGGCGGCUUACUGGACUGUAACUGACGCUGAGGCACGAAAGCGUGGGGAUCGAACAGGAUUAGAUACCCCGGUAGUC
rnacentral:rRNA from 1 species